rnacentral:tRNA from 1 species
AUAUAUGUCAGCUAUUAAAGCUAAUGAGUUCAUACCUCAUUUAUGUAAAGAUUUUGAUUCCUUCUAUA